rnacentral:rRNA from 1 species
GGACGGGUGAGUAACACGUGAGCAAUCUGCCCAUAAGAGGGGGACAACAGUUGGAAACGACUGCUAAUACCGCAUAAGACCACAUUACCGCAUGGUAGAGGGGUCAAAGAGAUAUCGCUUAUGGAUGAGCUCGCGUCCUAUUAGGUAGUUGGUGAGGUAACGGCCCACCAAGCCGACGAUAGGUAGCCGACCUGAGAGGGUGAUCGGCCACAUUGGAACUGAGACACGGUCCAAACUCC